GAACUAUGCACACAUCAUUUUAAUUUAAAUCUCAUGCACAAGUUUGAAUAGCGUGCUUCUGAUAACUAGCAACGCAAUUACACUAUACAUGAACUGAUGGAGGAGCAUUGGCUGACUGGCUGUUACACUGCUUACUGACGACUCAGCCACCACCGAGCAGGCGUUAUGCGGUUCAAUAGCCGGCUAACUCACCGCACAAUCAAAGGGUGGCGCUCGGAGCAAAUUUCCACCAUCAAAACCAAGACCAAGACUAAAUGCAAUAUUAUGCUAAAUGUGCUCGAAUACAUUUACGUACUUGAUUAGGUUUUAUUAUUAUUCCAUUAUUUUUUUGCACAUAAUAUGAACUAUGUUUGACUUAUUUAUUAUACUCACAGCCUCAGCUUUGACUUGGGAAUAAAAACUUCAAAUAUGUAUAGAAAUUAGUACGUACGUACAUAACUACUACAAAUA